UGUUUGUGCAGGGUUCCGGCAAGUCGGCCGUGCUGAACAGCCUCAUCGAUCAUCCCGUGCUGGUGAGAUUUUAGUCUAGCACCUCGGCUCUCCCCACUCCUUCCAUGUAUCUCCCUUGGCGUUGUUUGUUAAUCGGAUUGGAUUGUAUUGGAUUGGGUGGCGUUGUGUGGUGCAGCCGACGGGGGAGAACAGGGCGACUAGGGCGGCGAUCGUGGUGGACC
rnacentral:lncRNA from 1 species